rnacentral:tRNA from 1 species
AGAUUCUGGUGCAUUCUCACGCACAUCGAUGGGUUUGCAACCCAACAUGAACUUCGCUACAGAAUC